UAAUUUUUGUUUGAAAUUUUUGAGAAAUGAAUGUCAAAUUACCAUAGAGAACUAAACCUACGAGUUGGAUCAAGGGACAAUCUCAGAUAAACAAGUUUUUCUGGAGUGUAUACUUCCAAAAGGCAACAAAGAUAAGCAAAGGUUUUAUGUAGCAGGACGAAAAUUGACCCUCGAGUGCAAAGGCAGAAAGGAGCUUGACUGCAGAUCUACCCAUCAUCCGAUCCGUCGAGCAGGGAUGAACUCAUGAAAGUCGGUCUUGGUGAUCCAUUGUUACCGAGUGAAAGAGUCGUCGUUACUAUAAAAAUGACAAGUUGAUCAUCCCCAAGAGCUCACAUCGACGGAAGGAUUAGGCACUUCGAUGUUGAUUCCUUGCAACCUAAGAAUGUAGUGUGUUUCAAGGUUUGUAUUAUUUACCUAUUAUAGCGAUAGGUGAGAUGGGUUCAGAACGUCAAACUUUC
rnacentral:ncRNA from 1 species